GGGGUGCCUACGAGAGUAGGCCGCAGUGAAUAGGCUCAAGCAACUGUUUAUCAAAAACACAGGUCUCUGCUAAAGCGCAAGCUGAUGUAUAGGGGCUGCCGCCUGCCCGGUGCUGGAAGGUUAAGGGGAAUAGUUAGCGCAAGCGAAGCUAUGAACUUAAGCCCCAGUAAACGGCGGCCGUAACUAUAACGGUCCUAAGGUAGCGAAAUUCCUUGUCGGGUAAGUUCCGACCCGCACGAAUGGCGUAAUGAUUUGAGCACUGUCUCGGCAAUAAAUCCGGUGAAAUUGUAGUGCAAGUGAAGAUGCUUGCUACCCGCGGUUGGACGGAAAGACCCCGUAGAGCUUUACUGUAGCUUAGCAUUGAAUUUCGGUAUUGUCUGUACAGGAUAGGUGGGAGACUUAGAAGCGAGGGCGUCAGCUUUCGUGGAGUCGUCCUUGGGAUACCACCCUGACAGUACUGGAAUUCUAACUGGAGGCCAUGAAUCUGGUCACAGGACAUUGCUAGGUGGGCAGUUUGACUGGGGCGGUCGCCUCCUAAAAGGUAACGGAGGCGCCCAAAGGUUCCCUCAGCGCGGUCGGAAAUCGCGCGUAGAGUGCAAAGGCAGAAGGGAGCCUGACUGCGACACAUACAGGUGGAGCAGGGACGAAAGUCGGGCUUAGUGAUCCGGUGGUUCUGUAUGGAAGGGCCAUCGCUCAACGGAUAAAAGCUACCUCGGGGAUAACAGGCUGAUCUCCCCCAAGAGUCCACAUCGACGGGGAGGUUUGGCACCUCGAUGUCGGCUCGUCGCAUCCUGGGGCUGUAGUCGGUCCCAAGGGUUGGGCUGUUCGCC
rnacentral:rRNA from 1 species